rnacentral:rRNA from 3 species
AAACGACUCUCGGCAACGGAUAUCUCGGCUCACGCAUCGAUGAAGAACGUAGCAAAAUGCGAUACUUGGUGUGAAUUGCAGAAUCCCGUGAACCAUCGAGUUUUUGAACGCAAGUUGCGCCCGAAGCCAUCCGGUUCAGGGCACGCCUGCCUGGGCGUCACGC